UACGUAGGGUGCAAGCGUUAAUCGGAAUUACUGGGCGUAAAGCGUGCGCAGGCGGUUAUGCAAGACAGAUGUGAAAUCCCCGGGCUUAACCUGGGAACCGCAUUUGUGACUGCAUAGCUGGAGUACGGCAGAGGGGGAUGGAAUUCCGCGUGUAGCAGUGAAAUGCGUAGAGAUGCGGAGGAACACCGAUGGCGAAGGCAGCAGAUUGGGCCGGUAUUGACGCUCAGGCACGAAAGCAUGGGGAUCAAACAGG
rnacentral:rRNA from 1 species